rnacentral:rRNA from 1 species
CAAUAGCGUAUAUUAAAGUUGUUGCAGUUAAAAAGCUCGUAGUUGGAUUUCUGGUAGGAGUGACCGUGCCAGACUUGAUUGUCUGUGUAUUGUGUUGUCUCCAGCCAUCCUUGUGGAGAACUUUUCUUGCAUUAAUUUGUAGGGAUUGGGACCCGCAUCGUUUACUGUGAAAAAAUUAGAGUGUUUAAAGCAGGCAAUCGCUUGAAUACAUUAGUAUGGAAUAAUAAGAUAGGACUUUGGUACUAUUUUGUUGGUUUGCAUACCAAAUUAAUGAUCAACAGGAACAGUUUGAGGAUAUUCGUAUGAACAUGUCAGAGGUGAAAUUCUUGGAUUUUGAUCAGACGAACUACUGCGAAAGCAUUUAUCAAGGAUGUUUUCAUUA